CUUUCCUUGAUGACGACUGGCGCACGGGUGAGUAACGCGUAUCCAACCUUCCCAUAACUACGGGAUAACCCGUUGAAAGACGGCCUAAUACCGUAUGACAUCGUUUGCUGACAUCAAAUAACGAUUAAAGGUUUAGCGGUUAUGGAUGGGGAUGCGUCUGAUUAGCUUGUUGGCGGGGUAACGGCCCACCAAGGCAACGAUCAGUAGGGGUUCUGAGAGGAAGGUCCCCCACAUUGGAACUGAGACACGGUCCAAACUCCUACGGGAGGCAGCAGGG
rnacentral:rRNA from 1 species